GAUGAACGCUGGCGGCGUGCCUAAUACAUGCAAGUCGAGCGAACAGACGAGGAUCUUGCUCCUCUGACGUUAGCGGCGGACGGGUGAGUAACACGUGGAUAACCGACCUAUAAGACUGGGAUAACUUCGGGAAACCGGAGCUAAUACCGGAUAAUAUAUUGAACCGCAUGGUUCAAUAGUGAAAGACGGUUUUGCUGUCACUUAUAGAUGGAUCCGCGCCGCAUUAGCUAGUUGGUACGGUAACGGCUUACCAAGGCAACGAUGCGUAGCCGACCUGAGAGGGUGAUCGGCCACACUGGAACUGAGACACGGUCCAGACUCCUACGGGAGGCAGCAGUAGGGAAUCUUCCGCAAUGGGCGAAAGCCUGACGGAGCAACGCCGCGUGAGUGAUGAAGGUCUUCGGAUCGUAAAACUCUGUUAUUAGGGAAGAACAAAUGUGUAAGUAACUAUGCACGUCUUGACGGUACCUAAUCAGAAAGCCACGGCUAACUACGUG
rnacentral:rRNA from 1 species